rnacentral:rRNA from 1 species
GACGAACGCUGGCGGCGUGCUUAACACAUGCAAGUCGAACGGAAAGGCCCUGCUUGCAGGGUACUCGAGUGGUGAACGGGUGAGUAACACGUGGGUGAUCUGCCCUGCACUUCGGGAUAAGCCUGGGAAACUGGGUCUAAUACCGGAUAUGACCUUCCCUGUAGUGUGGGGGGUGGAAAGAUUUAUCGGUGUGGGAUGAGCCCGCGGCCUAUCAGCUUGUUGGUGGGGUAAUGGCCUACCAAGGCGUCGACGGGUAGCCGGCCUGAGAGGGUGGACGGCCACAUUGGGACUGAGAUACGGCCCAGACUCCUACGGGAGGCAGCAGUGGGGAAUAUUGCACAAUGGGCGGAAGCCUGAUGCAGCGACGCCGCGUGGGGGAUGACGGCCUUCGGGUUGUAAACCUCUUUCGACAGGGACGAAGCUUCGGUGACGGUACCUGUAUAAGAAGCACCGGCUAACUACGUG